rnacentral:rRNA from 1 species
UACGUAGGGUCCGAGCGUUGUCCGGAAUUACUGGGCGUAAAGAGCUCGUAGGUGGUUUGUCGCGUUGUUCGUGAAAACUCACAGCUUAACUGUGGGCGUGCGGGCGAUACGGGCAGACUGGAGUACUGCAGGGGAGACUGGAAUUCCAGGUGUAGCGGUGAAAUGCGUAGAUAUCUGGAGGAACACCGGUGGCGAAGGCGGCAUCCUGGACCGGCAUUGACGCUGAGGCGCGAAAGCUAGGGGAGCAAACGGG